rnacentral:misc_RNA from 1 species
AACGCACAUUGCACCCGGUGGUAUUCCGCCGGGUAUGCCUGUUCGAGCGUCUGUAGAACAACACCUUCAGCAAGCUUUAUGCUUGAUUUUGGGGUUGCGGCGUCAAGCUGCAGCCCUCAAGUCCACGGGCGGUUCCAGUAGGUUCUAUGCGUGGUAAUUUCUCCUCGCUACAGAACUUUGCCGGCACAUUUGGUAUUAAGCCCAGCAAUGGCGACUCCAAGCCCUUAACACCCAAUUUUAGUUUGACCUCGGGUCAAGUAGGGAUACCCGCUGAACUUAA